GAGUCGCUUAUUACCUAGUCGACUCUGUGCUUGGUAGUCUAGUGCGUCGUGUGAAUAUUGGCAUUGUCUCUGUGCGAUGCGUCGUCUGGUGGAAAAAAAUCGAACUAAUGGAACCAUUGUGCCUUGUUUUUUCGGGUGUGGAUGAUAGAACGGGAACAUAUGAGGUGUAAAAUUCCGUGAGCGCAGAAUUUCAAGAAAAGAAAAAUGCCCGAGAGUUACGACGCAAAUCAAAAGAAUCAAGCGUCUGAGACACCGUAAUUACCGAUCAGUAGAACCUGCUUCAAAUCGAAGCUUUACAAUCGGCGUAAGGAUUAGAGAAAAAAGAGAAGAUUGAUGAUCAAAGUGAUUGGAAUCCUCUACUUCGCUUUUCAGUAUUCAACUUCAGGAUUUAAAACAAGCGUUUUCAAUUCAGCGACAAUCGUGACGAAGGAAAAAAUAUACCCUUUGCGUCGCGUGUCGAAAAUGUUAACUUUCGGUUGCGAGGUCAAUUUGCGUAACAAAGAAUUGUUACUCGCUAAUUGCAAAUAGUGUGAAAUGAGCAGACUUGCCUAUAAUAUGAUUUUUUUUUCAUCUUUCCGUCACGCUGCGACAAUAUUAAGUGAGGAAAAAACUUUAAGCAUUGUUUGUACGAUGGAAAAAAAUAUUUGUCGAUUAUUUUUUUUCUAACAUUAUCGAGAUGCGAACAAAUUCGCACAAUCGACUUAUCUAAAAUUUUCGCAAUUCAAGUAACGAGUCCGGAGCAUUUUUCAACCGAUUAUCGCAAUCGGUGCAGAUAAAAUAAAACUCACAGCGAUUAUUCGAGAUUCGUAAAUGCGGUGACUGAAAUGAUAAUUUGGAUACAUGUUUCCUCGACUUGAAAACAAGAAGAAUAAUUCCACGAGAACUUCUGUCACGCACAACUGUGCACACAUUGCUCAUUACUGAUUGUGAAUACAAGCAGUUGGGUCUUAUUAACCAUUUUUAACUCGCCUUAAUGACGGAAACUUUCCAAGUUAAUUAGAUGAAAAGUGUUACAAGUAAUAAUAAAAUGUCAACACUGCGUAGAGCAGUAUACACUGUUUUAAUUUUUGACGAUUUUCUAGCUCUACUCCAUUGAACCAGAAACUAAUUUUCACCACUCGAAGUAACUUCGAAGUUACCUCGAGGAAAAGGUUUAUUCCAUUUUCUAUGUUAUUGCAAUUUUUGCGUUUUUUAGAAAAAUCUUUGAUGAAUCGAUUCCAUUAGAUUUGCAAAUACGAGACACGAAAUUAAGGAGACGAUCGGUUGAUUCAAUUCAAAUUUGUUUCCAUCAAACAAACCACAUUUUAAUUCAAUGAAAAUCGACCAAUCCCUACAUGCGCGUAUCGAGGAUUGAUUGAAUUAAUUUGAAAUCUAGCUAUGCAAAGCAAGAUAAAAGUACCGACUUCGUUUCAAACUAGAUUCUAAAAAUUUCGUACAAGUUUCGGUAAAAAAAGAUUUUUGUUUUCGAACAGCAAGUCCCGAUCAAAUUAUCAAUGCCGAUUUCGGUGAAGAUCUUCGUCUGAUUUUUACAAAACGCGUAACACAAGUUUAAUAUCUCGAUACUGAAUAACUAAUCCAAAUUUUUAACGAGAUUGAAGUCUUAUAUUUGAAAAAAAAGGAUUGUUUUUGCAGAGUUUUCGGGUAUCCUCUUAUUUUUGCAGGCUUAAAUUUGCACUAGUUACACUGCGUGUUGCAGAAUUCAACAUGU